rnacentral:rRNA from 1 species
GACGAACGCUGGCGGCGUGCUUAACACAUGCAAGUCGAACGGAAAGGCCCCUUUGGGGGUACUCGAGUGGCUAACGGGUGAGUAACACGUGAGUAACCUGCCCUUGACUUCGGGAUAACUUCAGGAAACUGGGUCUAAUACCGGAUAGGAAUCCUUGCUGCAUGGUGGGGGUUGGAAAGCUUCGGCGGUUUUGGCUGGACUCGCGGCUUAUCAGCUUGUUGGUGGGGGAGUGGCUUACCAAGGCUUUGACUGGUAGCCGGCCUGAGAGGGCGAACGGCCACAUUGGGAAUGAGAUACGGGCCAGACUCCUACGGGAGGCAGCAGUGGGGAAGAUUGCACAAUGGGCGGAAGCCUGAUGCAGCAACGCCGCGUGCGGGAUGACGGCCUUCGGGUUGUAAACCGCUUUCAGCAGGGGAGAAGCUUGUGGUGACGGUACCUGCAGAAGAAGCACCGGCUAACUACGUG